rnacentral:rRNA from 1 species
AUUGAACGCUGGCGGCAGGCCUAACACAUGCAAGUCGAGCGGCAGCGGGAGAAAGCUUGCUUUCUUGCCGGCGAGCGGCGGACGGGUGAGUAAGGUAUGGGGAUCUGGCCGAAGGCGGGGGAUAACCACUGGAAACGGUGGCUAAUACCGCAUAAUCUCUAAGGAGCAAAGUGGGGGACCUUCUGGCCUCACACCUUCGGAUGAACCCAUAUGAGAUUAGCUAGUAGGUGGGGUAAAGGCUCACCUAGGCGACGAUCUCUAGCUGGUCUGAGAGGAUGAACAGCAACACUGGAACUGAGACAGGGACAGGACUCCUACGGGAGACAGCAGUGGGGAAUAUUGCGCAAUGGGCGCAAGCCUGAUACAGCCAUGCCGCGUGUAUGAAGAAGGCCUUCGGGUUGUAAAGUACUUUCAGUCGUGAGGAAGGUGUUAGGGUUAAUAACCUUAGCAAUUGACGUUAGCGACAGAAGAAGCACCGGUUAACUCCGUGCCAUCAGCCGCCGUAA